UGGCUCAGAUGAUAGAGCGUCCGCCUGCAAUGCGGGAGACCCAGGUUCGAUUCCUGG
rnacentral:tRNA from 1 species